CCUACGGGAGGCAGCAGUGAGGAAUAUUGGUCAAUGGACGAGAGUCUGAACCAGCCAAGUAGCGUGAAGGAUGACUGCCCUAUGGGUUGUAAACUUCUUUUAUAUGGGAAUAAAGGUAUCCACGUGUGGAUAUUUGCAUGUACCCUAUGAAUAAGCAUCGGCUAACUCCGUGCCAGCAGCCGCGGUAAUACGGAGGAUGCGAGCGUUAUCCGGAUUUAUUGGGUUUAAAGGGUGCGUAGGUUGUUUUUUAAGUCAGCGGUGAAAGUUUGUGGCUCAACCAUAAAAUUGCCGUUGAAACUGGAAGACUUGAGUGUGUUUGAGGUAGGCGGAAUGCGUGGUGUAGCGGUGAAAUGCAUAGAUAUCACGCAGAACUCCGAUUGCGAAGGCAGCCUGCUGGACUGCAACUGACGUUGAGGCCCGAAAGCGUGGGGAGCAAACAGGAUUAGAUACCCCAGUAGUC
rnacentral:rRNA from 1 species